ACGAACGCUGGCGGCAUGCCUAACACCUGCCAGUCGAACGAGACCUUCGGGUCUAGUGGCGCACGGGUGCGUAACGCGUGGGAACCUGCCCUUAGGUUCGGAAUAACUCCCCGAAAGGGGUGCUAAUACCGGAUAAUGUCUUCGGACCAAAGAUUUAUCGCCUUUGGAUGGGCCCGCGUUGGAUUAGCUAGUUGGUAGGGUAAAAGCCUACCAAGGCGACGAUCCAUAGCUGGUCUGAGAGGAUGAUCAGCCACACUGGGACUGAGACACGGCCCAGACUCCUACGGGAGGCAGCAGUGGGGAAUAUUGGACAAUGGGCGAAAGCCUGAUCCAGCAAUGCCGCGUGAGUGAUGAAGGCCUUAGGGUUGUAAAGCUCUUUUACCCGGGAUGAUAAUGACAGUACCGGGAGAAUAAGCGCCGGCUAACUCCGUG
rnacentral:rRNA from 1 species